UGCUGGGAGGGCAAACUGGAAGCUUGGACAACCCUGGAAUGUGCACCUGCGGGAAGCCACUGCUGCCUCCAAGGAGCAGGGGCGAUGCCAGGGCUUGGAAUCUGGAGCGAGAAGUAACUUGGGCACUGAUGAUGAAACAGUCUGAAGCCAGAGGGAAGGGAGAAGAGCCCUGGCUUCUCUGCCUGUCAACAGAUCGCCAUCAGAGUUUCCCAUUGGUGAGGUUAACCAGGAACCAGCUGGCAAGAAAAUACCCAAUGGCAGUCCUUGAAGUACGUUUCAUGGUCAAAAUUUAUCUUCAAGUGCUCCCGAUCCAGAUAACCCAUCAGCAAGUGAUGUAGCAGAGCAGUGGAAGACCAAAGAAGCCCACGCCAUAGAAACAGUGAGAGCAUGGACUAGGCUAUAUGCCAUGAAUAAUAUUUAAAUCAAUCGGAUCAUCAA